AAUGGGCGAAAGCCUGACGCAGCCAUGCCGCGUGUGUGAAGAAGGCCUUCGGGUUGUAAAGCACUUUCGCCUGUGAAGAUAAUGACGGUAGCAGGUAAAGAAACCCCGGCUAACUCCGUGCCAGCAGCCGCGGUAAUACGGAGGGGGUUAGCGUUGUUCGGAAUUACUGGGCGUAAAGCGCGCGUAGGCGGAUUAGUCAGUCAGAGGUGAAAUCCCAGGGCUCAACCCUGGAACUGCCUUUGAUACUGCUAGUCUUGAGUUCGAGAGAGGUAAGUGGAAUUCCGAGCGUAGAGGUGAAAUUCGUAGAUAUUUGGAAGAACACCAGUGGCGAAAGCGACUUUCUGGCUAUUUUCUGACGCUGAGGAGCGAAAGCGUGGGGAGCAAACAGGAUU
rnacentral:rRNA from 1 species